UGGUGUUGUGUCUAAAAACUUACUUCCAAGUGAUAAAGGCCAAGAUGGAGCGAAUGGUAGACUCAUUCAAGUCAUAACAGCGGGCAAUCUCCACAAUUUUCUUGCUGUCUUUGAUCAUAUGCAAGAGUUUCACCUUCUCCUGGAUGGUUUUUAUGUGCUGGAAUCAACUCUGAAAUAUUUACAGGGCAGCAUUGCCACCCACUCUGGGUUUCCCCGGGCGACCUCAAGCAUGACUAAAGGAAGGAUGAGCUCACAGAGCUAGCGGGCCUGGGAUCAAACCACUUUUCAUUUAUGAGUAUAAUGAUCUUCCAUUGGGUUGGGUUUCAAGGACCAGAACUCCGGGAAGAAACUCAUUUCCUGGCGGUCUGUGAGAGUCUUGGAAGCAGAGCCUCUGAAUCGCCCACUUCUGUGCUUGUGGAUAACAACAGAGAGCCCAACACUCGUUCCUCUUCCACGGUGUCUACUUAUUUUCUGAAUGAAGAAAAUGAAGUCCUCCCAAAGUUAUGAGACUGGCCCAGUAUUUCUUAUCCUGGUCCAGUGCAUUUCCUGGUCACAAGGCUACUUCUUGGUGAUUUCUAGAAUUGGCGGCUGCAGGCACUGUGGGGACAAAGGACCAGUUUCCAGAAAUACUCCCAGUGCCCACGAAAUUGACUGCCAGCGAUGGGCGGAUAAUGAAUGUUAACAGGC